rnacentral:rRNA from 1 species
GGGAAACUGCCUGAUGGAGGGGGAUAACUACUGGAAACGGUAGCUAAUACCGCAUAACGUCGCAAGACCAAAGAGGGGGACCUUCGGGCCUCUUGCCAUCAGAUGUGCCCAGAUGGGAUUAGCUAGUAGGUGGGGUAACGGCUCACCUAGGCGACGAUCCCUAGCUGGUCUGAGAGGAUGACCAGCCACACUGGAACUGAGACACAGUCCAGACUCCUACGGGAGGCAGCAGUGGGGAAUAUUGCACAAUGGGCGCAAGCCUGAUGCAGCCAUGCCGCGUGUAUGAAGAAGGCCUUCGGGUUGUAAAGUACUUUCAGCGAGGAGGAAGGUGUUGAGGUUAAUAACCUCAGCAAUUGACGUUACUCGCAGAAGAAGCACCGGCUAACUCCGUGCCAGCAGCCGCGGUAAUACGGAGGGUGCAAGCGUUAAUCGGAAUUACUGGGCGUAAAGCGCACGCAGGCGGUCUGUCAAGUCGGAUGUGAAAUCCCCGGGCUCAACCUGGGAACUGCAUUCGAAACUGGCAGGCUAGAGUCUUGUAGAGGGGGGUAGAAUUCCAGGU